rnacentral:rRNA from 1 species
GUGUCAGCAGCCGCGGUAAUACGGAGGGUGCAAGCGUUGUUCGGAAUUACUGGGCGUAAAGAGCGUGUAGGCGGCUGAUCAAGUCGGGUGUGAAAGCCCGGGGCUUACCCCCGGAAGUGCGCUCGAAACUGGUCAGCUAGAGUAUGGGAGAGGGAAGUGGAAUUCCUGGUGUAGCGGUGAAAUGCGUAGAUAUCAGGAGGAACACCGGCGGCGAAGGCGGCUUCCUGGACCAAUACUGACGCUGAGACGCGAAAGCGUGGGGAGCAAACAGGAUUAGAUACCCUUGUAGUCC